rnacentral:rRNA from 1 species
AGCAGCCGCGGUAAUUCCAGCUCCAAUAGCGUAUAUUAAAGUUGUUGCAGUUAAAAAGCUCGUAGUUGAAUUUCGGGAUCAAUAUUUCGGUCAUGCCGUUGGUAUGCACUGUUAUCAUUGAUUUCUCACCUUCUAAAGAACCGUAAUGCCAUUAAUUUGGUGUUACGGGGAAUUAGGACUGUUACCUUGAAAAAUUAGAGUGUUUAAAGCAGGCUCACGCUUGAAUACAUUAGCAUGGAAUAAUGAAAUAGGACAUCCGAUUCUAUUUUGUUGGUUUCUAGGAUCGAUGUAAUGAUUAAUGGGGAUAGUUGGGGGCAUUAGUAUUCAAUUGUCAGAGGUGAAAUUCUUGGAUUUAUUGAAGACUAACUACUGCGAAAGCAUUUGCCAAGGAUGUUUUCAUUAAUCAAGAACGAAAGUUAGGGGAUCGAAGACGAUCAGAUACCGUCGCAG